rnacentral:misc_RNA from 1 species
CUGCCAGUUUCUGUAAUGCCUCAGUCACCGGCAUAUCCCGUACCCUGUUCGGGCUGUAAUGUAAAAGACUUCGGCUGAUCCCCAUAAUUCGGCACCCGCGUCGUUCGCUGGUCUGAUGCUCCAUCAUCACAUAACGCACCAGC